rnacentral:rRNA from 1 species
GAUGAACGCUAGCGGCAGGCUUAAUACAUGCAAGUCGAGGGGCAGCGGGGGUAGCAAUACCUGCCGGCGACCGGCAAACGGGUGCGGAACACGUACACAACCUUCCUAUAAGUGGGGGAUAGCCCAGAGAAAUUUGGAUUAAUACCCCGUAAUAUUAUUUAGUGGCAUCAUUAGAUAAUUAAAGCUCCGGCGCUUAUUGAUGGGUGUGCGUCUGAUUAGGUAGUUGGUGAGGGUAACGGCCCACCAAGCCUUCGAUCAGUAACUGGUGUGAGAGCACGACCAGUCACACGGGCACUGAGACACGGG